GGAAGUGGUGCCAGGAAUAGCCCGGCAGAUCCGCCUGCAGCCCGGAGCGCUCCCUCCCGCCUCGGCCAGGGCGGGCUGCGGCUCCCGGGCCUCCGCCUCUCUCUCCCCCGUGCAACACCAGCCCCUCCGGCACUGUCAGGGUGACGGUGAUGAUCCUUUCCAAAAAGAGGGAGAGAAAUGACCUGCCUUAAGAUAAAUGCGUGAAGCGGGCGCCCCUUGGCCGCUGGAAUAUCUCUAUCUGUCUUUAUAUAUAAAGAAGCACCGCGAGCCACCUCACUCCAGGCAAGCCCUUAGCAAAGGAGCAACAAGAGCGCCCGGCGGGAUCAGCAACAACAACAACAACAAGGGCACCGGGAGGGCUUCCCUCCUUCCUCCUCGGUGACUUCCCAGUUCUGUCCUAAUAUGCUUACGGAGUCUGAAAAAUGCAACUCUAAUAUACAAGAAAUAUCAGCCUGCACACAAAAAAUUGUAAAGAAUAUCUCUGUUCUUAAAAAUGUGGGACCCUCUUCUGAUAUGUGAUCUACAGCAAGCUACUUUGAAUCGUACGAUGACAAUGUUAUCACUGCCACAUCUCUGGGAACCAGUUAUUCAUAAGUAUACGGUGGAAGAGAGAGUCAACAGCCAUAUUUGCUGGAGCGGUGAACCAAAUUGCCUUGACUGGAACCAUUACUCACUUGCACAUUUGACAGCAGCAGCCAGGUGAAAGCUUGCAGUCUGAUUCCAUUGCUAGAUAUGGGACGAUAGGAAGGCACAUUUUCUCUGAAGACGGGAGCAUGCAAUGCUGCCAAACCAGCAGUCCCAGGCGCCCUGCAGGGAAUGAUUCUUGCAGCAGAGCGAGAUUGCACAAGCUGUGGUGUGGAGGACUAGCUGCUUUAUUCUGGCUGAGAAACCUUUGAAGAUACUGGUCCUAAUUCUCUACCGCCUGAAACCUUUUGCUAUUUAUACCUGGGUAAAGUGAAUGCCGAGCGAGCAUAAAAUGCCUCUACCCUAGUGCUAAAG
rnacentral:lncRNA from 1 species